rnacentral:tRNA from 2 species
AGCGGGUGUAGUUUAAUGGUAAAACUACAGCCUUCCAAGCUGUUGUCGCGAGUUCGAUUCUCGUCACCCGCUU